GUACAGAAACCAUCUUCUGCAAACUGCACUGAUUUAAUUCCAGCAUCUGCAGCAGCUUCUCUCACCGAGGUGACUGGCAAGAAGAAGUCAAAGUGCCGCCAGUACUAUUAGAUCAAGUGUCCUUGGCCCAUUAAAAGGAAAAGGUGAAAUGACAUCUGAACACCAUCCAAAGAGAAUUUUCCAAGACACAACCACCAUGCUUUCUUCUGAUACUAAUCCUAGUGUUUGAUAGGAAUAUGUGGGAGAAGAGCUGGCUUAGACAGAUGUAGAACCGCCCAGUCUGCUCAAGGCAUUACCAAGUGAAUAGCUUAGUCCUAAACAUCAGUUCCAUAGAUUAAAAACUUG